rnacentral:rRNA from 1 species
UACGUAGGGUGCAAGCGUUGUCCGGAAUUAUUGGGCGUAAAGAGCUCGUAGGCGGUCUGUCGCGUCGGCUGUGAAAUCCCGAGGCUCAACUUCGGGUCUGCAGUCGAUACGGGCAAACUGGAGUACUGCAGGGGAGACUGGAAUUCCUGGUGUAGCGGUGAAAUGCGCAGAUAUCAGGAGGAACACCGGUGGCGAAGGCGGGUCUCUGGGGCAGUAACUGACGCUGAGGAGCA